ACAUCCAGAGAACUUAGCAGAGAUUGCUUUGGUGCCUUCGGGAACUCUGAGACAGGUGCUGCAUGGCUGUCGUCAGCUCGUGUUGUGAAAUGUUGGUUAAGUCCCGNAACGAGCGCAACCCUUAUCCUUUGUUGCCAGCGGUUCGGCCGGGAACUCAAAGGAGACUGCCGGUGAUAAACCGGAGGAAGGUGGGAAUGACGUCAAGUCAUCAUGGCCCUUACGGCCAGGGCUACACACGUGCUACAAUGGCGCAUACAAAGAGAAGCGACCUCGCGAGAGCAAGCGGACCUCAUAAAGUGCGUCGUAGUCCGGAUUGGAGUCUGCAACUCGACUCCAUGAAGUCGGAAUCGCUAGUAAUCGUAGAUCAGAAUGCUACGGUGAAUACGUUCCCGGGCCUUGUACACACCGCCCGUCACACCAUGGGAGUGGGUUGCAAAAGAAGUAGGUAGCUUAACCUUCGGGAGGGCGCUUACCACUUUGUGAUUCAUGACUGGGGUGAAGUCGUAACAAGGUAAGCGUAGCGAG
rnacentral:rRNA from 1 species